rnacentral:rRNA from 1 species
UUUCUAAGUGCGUGGCUGCGUCCCCCAGUUGGUUUUGUGGUUACCUCGUGCAGGUCGAGCGCGCCCCUGCGGCGCGCGCGUCACGCAUCAGACCUCUAAUCGGGAAAGAUCACCCGCUGAGUUUAA